CGUGUGCUAAAUAAGAAAAAAGAAAAUAAUGGUGAAUUAAGGAGAUACGGUAGCUAGCUAGUGAAUAUAGUGUAGCUACGAGGCAGAGGACACAGAGGACCUGUUCGCUGUCCUGCUGCGCAUUGAUGACGAUGAUUAGCGCAAUAGAUUUUUCAGUAAAAAUGGAUAAAGAUUCCACUCACUCGCUCCUCAAAAUGGCCGCGAUCACAGAAAGGUUUUUGGACAAUCUCACCCUUUUCCACAUUAAAGAGCAGCAGUAAGUGACAAAACACACCACCAGGACAGACUUUGCCAGCUUUUGGACUGGGAAGCUUUUGUUCUUGUUACCAAAUGCAGACCUCCGCCCCUCUGGUGUCUCUAUUUCCCUAACGCGUACUCAUGCAGGAUGGACAGGCAUAUGCCAUACAAAAAGCUUUGAUCUUUGCUGAGUGUGUAAUCCAGGCCCCGGAGGACUAUAGAGAGGGAUGAAGGACUCCUCUAACAACCAUCGCUCACCAUCACCUCCUUCGCCAUGGAGGAAAAACAGCAUCCUCCUUUCUUAGAUGCUGAGCCGAGAUCCGUAGCUCCACCAAUCACAAUGCAAAAAAAAAAAAAUAAAAAAUAAAAAAUAAAAAAAAAAUGCAAAAAAAAAAGCGACUGAAGCUUGC